ACGACCAGAGGAGACGACGACCAGAGGGGACGACGACCAGAGGAGACGACGACCAGAGGGGACGACGACCAGAGGAGACGACGACCACAUGUCCUCUUUCCAAAGGUUGUCCACUAGAUGUAGGGCAGAGUAGAUCACUAGUAGAGCACUAGCCUAGAUGUAGGACGGAGUAGAGCGCUAGUCUAGAGAUAGGGUGAGGUAGAGCGCUAGCCUAGAUAUAGGGCGAGGUAGAGCGCUAGCCUAGAUAUAGGGCGAGGUAGAGCGCUAGCCUAGAUAUAGGGCGAGGUAGAGCGCUAGCCUAGAUAUAGGGCGAGGUAGAGCGCUAGCCUAGAUAUAGGGCGAGGUAGAGCGCUAGCCUAGAUAUAGGGCGAGGUAGAGCGCUAGCCUAGAUAUAGGGCGAGGUAGAGCGCUAGCCUAGAUAUAGGGCGAGGUAGAGCGCUAGCCUAGAUAUAGGGCGAGGUAGAGCGCUAGCCUAGAUAUAGGGCGAGGUAGAGCAAUAGCCUAGAUAUA